rnacentral:rRNA from 1 species
UUGGAGGGCAAGUCUGGUGCCAGCAGCCGCGGUAAUUCCAGCUCCAAUAGCGUAUAUUAAAGUUGUUGCAGUUAAAAAGCUCGUAGUUGAAUUUCGAGAUCAAAUUGUUGGUCGUGCCUUGGUACGCACUGGCAUUAUUGGUUUCUCCCUUCUGACGAACCAUGAUGUCAUUAAUUUGGUGUCUUGGGGAAUCAGGACUGUUACUUUGAAAAAAUUAGAGUGUUUAAAGCAGGCUCACGCUUGAAUACAUUAGCAUGGAAUAAUGAAAUAGGACGUUUGAUUCUAUUUUGUUGGUUUCUAGGAUCGACGUAAUGAUUAAUAGGGAUAGUUGGGGGCAUUAGUAUUCAAUUGUCAGAGGUGAAAUUCUUGGAUUUAUUGAAGACUAACUACUGCGAAAGCAUUUGCCAAGGAUGUUUUCAUUAAUCAAGAACGAAAGUUAGGGGAUCGAAGACGAUCAGAUACCGUCGUAGUCUUAACCAUAAACUAUGCCGACUAGGGAUCGGAUGAUGUUAAUUUUUUAAUGACUCAUUCGGCGCCUUACGGGAAACCAAAGUGUUUGGGUU